UACGUAGGGGGCAAGCGUUGUCCGGAUUUAUUGGGCGUAAAGAGCGUGUAGGCGGCUUUACAGGUCCGUUGUGAAAACUCGAGGCUCAACCUCGAGACGCCGGUGGAAACCGUAAGGCUAGAGUCCGGAAGAGGAGAGUGGAAUUCCUGGUGUAGCGGUGAAAUGCGCAGAUAUCAGGAGGAACACCCGUGGCGAAAGCGGCUCUCUGGGACGGUAUUGACGCUGAGACGCGAAAGCGUGGGGAGCAAACAGG
rnacentral:rRNA from 1 species